rnacentral:misc_RNA from 1 species
AAUUUGCAAGGGGAGAUGAAGUUCAAGAAUUUGGUAAUAUGCGACCAUUGUACAUCUUAUCAAGCAAUUUUCGUGCGUCGGGCCUUCUUAGGAGACCUUUGUUGUUUGGUAAACCAGUUCCUAGACAAACAGGACACACUAGUUUUCCUCUACCAUAACAAUUUGGACAUUCUGUAAACUCAUAGACAUCUUUAGCCCGUUUUCUGUUUAGAGCUUUCCAU